CAGUCGCCACGGUAAUACGGAGGGUGCAAGCGUUAAUCGGAAUUACUGGGCGUAAAGCGUGCGUAGGCGGUUCGUUAAGUCUGUUGUGAAAGCCCCGGGCUCAACCUGGGAAUGGCAAUGGAUACUGGCGAGCUAGAGUGUGUCAGAGGAUGGUGGAAUUCCCGGUGUAGCGGUGAAAUGCGUAGAGAUCGGGAGGAACAUCAGUGGCGAAGGCGGCCAUCUGGGACAACACUGACGCUGUGGCACGAAAGCGUGGGGAGCAAACAGGAUUAGAUACCCGGGUAGUCCCUGUCUCUUAUAC
rnacentral:rRNA from 1 species